GACGAACGCUGGCGGCGUGCUUAACACAUGCAAGUCGAACGGAAAGGCCCUGCUUUUGUGGGGUGCUCGAGUGGCGAACGGGUGAGUAACACGUGAGUAACCUGCCCUUGACUUUGGGAUAACUUCAGGAAACUGGGGCUAAUACCGGAUAGGGGCUCCUGCUGCAUGGUGGGGGUUGGAAAGUUUCGGCGGUUGGGGAUGGACUCGCGGCUUAUCAGCUUGUUGGUGGGGUAGUGGCUUACCAAGGCUUUGACGGGUAGCCGGCCUGAGAGGGUGACCGGCCACAUUGGGACUGAGAUACGGCCCAGACUCCUACGGGAGGCAGCAGUGGGGAAUAUUGCACAAUGGGCGGAAGCCUGAUGCAGCAACGCCGCGUGCGGGAUGACGGCCUUCGGGUUGUGAACCGCUUUCGCCUGUGACGAAGCGUGAGUGACGGUAAUGGGUAAAGAAGCACCGGCUAACUACGUG
rnacentral:rRNA from 1 species